GAAAAAGGUAGAGUAUAAUAUACAGAUUCCAUAUUCCUCUACUCCUCCUCACUCUCUCUGCCCCCACACAACUACUAUACGACGACCAUAUUAAUCACUCAUUAACCUCUUUCAACCCUAUCUUUAAAGAAGUGGCCUUUUCUCCUUGCUCGUGUGUCCCAGAAUUAUUCGCUCAUUUAUGAUUUUCCACUCCCACUCAGCACCUUUUCCCUCUUUCCUGGAUUCCUAGUUCAAGUAGUUGAUUUCCUGCUGUGAUUAUGAAGGGGGCCUAAUCUGAAGUGUUUAAAGAGGUUAAUGUGUGGAUGAUGUGAAGAUUCAUAUUUCAUAUUGUGAUAAUCUUGAGUUGGAAGCUCUGCAGGAAGACUAGUCGAAUUCAUUCUGAAUCGCAGCACGGGAUAUAUAUACUUGCGGGAUUGAAGGAUAGUAGUGGUCAUAGUUGAUAAAAUGGCUUUCGAGCCAUUUGAGUGGUAUUGCCAACCUGUCAAGAAUGGGGUAUGGGCAAGAGCAGUGGAAAAUGCAUUUGGAGCUUACACUCCAUGUGCUACUGACUCCUUGGUUAUCUGCAUUUCCCAUCUGGCUCUUCUGCUGCUGUGCAUAAAUCGGCUAUGGCGGAUGAAAAGAGAUUUCUCAGUCCAGAGAUUCCUCCUAAGAUCAAAUGUUUACAAUUAUUUGCUGGGUCUGCUGGCUCUUUAUUGUACUGGAGAACCGUUGUUUAGAUUGAUAAUGGGGAUUUCAGCAUUCAAUGUGGAUGGUCAGCCCGGUCUUGCCCCAUA